ACGCUCGACACCUACGGAGGCAGCAGUAGGGAAUCUUCCGCAAUGGACGAAAGUCUGACGGAGCAACGCCGCGUGAACGAUGAAGGUUUUCGGAUCGUAAAGUUCUGUUGUUAGGGAAGAACAAACUUCGUUUGAAUAAGGCGGAGUCAUGACGGUACCUAACGAGAAAGCCACGGCUAACUACGUGCCAGCAGACGCGGUAAUCUGAGCGGGCUGGCAAGGC
rnacentral:rRNA from 1 species